AGCAGCCGCGGUAAUUCCAGCUCCAAUAGCGUAUAUUAAAGUUGUUGCAGUUAAAAAGCUCGUAGUUGAACUUCAGGCCUGGCUGGACGGUCCGCCUUCCGGGUGAGUACUGUCUGUGGUCGGGUCCUACCUUCUGGCGAAGCGUCAUGGCCUUAACCGGCCGUGGCGGGGAACCAGGACUUUUACUGUGAAAAAAUUAGAGUGUUCAAAGCAGGCAAUUCGCUUGGAUACAUUAGCAUGGAGUAAUGGAAUAGGACAAUUGUUCUAUUUGUUGGUUUCUAGGACUGUUGUAAUGAUUAAUAGGGAUAGUUGGGGGCAUUAGUAUUCAAUUGUCAGAGGUGAAAUUCUUGGAUUUAUUGAAGACUAACUACUGCGAAAGCAUUUGCCAAGGAUGUUUUCAUUAAUCAAGAACGAAAGUUAGGGGAUCGAAGACGAUCAGAUACCGUCGUAGUCUUAACCAUAAACUAUGCCGACUAGGAAUCGGGCGAUGUUGACAAAAUGAACGUCGCUCGGCACCUCA
rnacentral:rRNA from 1 species